UAAGAGUUAUCGGACGGCAGGAUGAGAAUCGCAGGUUCGACCCGAGCAUGCAGUGCGAGGGAACGGGGGAGCAGAGCGACACCGGCCCCGAAGGGGUGAGGCGCACGGCGCCGAAUAUCCUGCCGCCCCGGCCG
rnacentral:sRNA from 1 species